rnacentral:rRNA from 1 species
UAGGGAAUUGUUCGCAAUGGGCGCAAGCCUGACGACGCAACGCCGCGUGGAGGAUGAAGGUCUUCGGAUUGUAAACUCCUGUCGUGUGGGACGAACAUUCGCUUUUCUAAUACAAGAGCGGACUGACGGUACCACGAAAGGAAGCCCCGGCUAACUCUGUGCCAGCAGCCGCGGUAAUACAGAGGGGGCGAGCGUUGUUCGGAAUUACUGGGCGUAAAGGGCGCGUAGGCGGCCUGCUAAGUCAUACGUGAAAUCCCAUGGCUCAACCAUGGAACUGCGUGUGAUACUGGCGGGCUUGAAUUCGGGAGAGGGAUGCGGAAUUCCAGGUGUAGCGGUGAAAUGCGUAGAUAUCUGGAGGAACACCGGUGGCGAAGGCGGCAUCCUGGACCGAGAUUGACGCUGAGGCGCGAAAGCCAGGGGAGCAAACGG